GCGUGCCUCAGACAUGCAAGUCGAACGAGAAAGUCCCCUUCGGGGGAUAAGUAAAGUGGCGCACGGGUGAGUAACACGUAGGUAAUCUACCUUUGGGUGGGGAAUAACAGCCGGAAACGGCUGCUAAUACCGCAUAAUGCAGCGGCUCGACAUCGAGACAGUUGUUAAAGCGGGGGAUCGCAAGACCUCGCCUAAAGAGGAGCCUGCGGCGGAUUAGCUAGUUGGUGAGGUAAUGGCUCACCAAGGCAUCGAUCCGUAGCCGGCCUGAGAGGGCGGUCGGCCACACUGACACUGACAUACGGGUCAGACUCCUACGGGAGGCAGCAGUCGGGAAUUUUGGGCAAUGGGCGCAAGCCUGACCCAGCAACGCCGCGUGAAGGAUGAAAUCCCUCGGGAUGUAAACUUCGCAAGAACAGGAAGAAUAAGUGGGGGACAAUACCCCCCAUGAUGACGGUACUGUUUGUAAGCUCCGGCUAACUCCGUGCCAGCAGCCGCGGUAAUACGGGGGGAGCAAGCGUUGUUCGGAUUUACUGGCGUAAAGGGCGCGUAGGCGGUCGUGACAAGUCACUUGUGAAAUCUCCGGGCUUAACUCGGAAAGGUCAAGUGAUACUGUCGGACUAGAGUGCAGAAGGGGCAACUGGAAUUCUCGGUGUAGCGGUGAAAUGCGUAGAUAUCGAGAGGAACACCUGCGGCGAAGGCGGGUUGCUGGGCUGACACUGACGCUGA
rnacentral:rRNA from 1 species